AUCUCUAUAAUAGAGAUUGAACAGUGUCACUGGCGUGGGGGUUACCUUCCCACUGUGUCCCCCAGAAGACAUGAGGCCACAGACUGCAGUGCCCGUGGACAGAGGAGCUGUGGGGAUGGAAGUGUGAUUGCUUCAUUCAAAUGCACGCCCCGGUGCGUGUGCGUCUCUUCUGAUGCAGCGCCCCAUGGAUACCCCAUCAGCCUGAGUCUCUUAAAGGCCUUUAUACACAUAUGUCUACACAUAGGGAUUUGGAUUAUCUCGGGAUCCCACAUCCUCGCUGUCCCCUGUCCCCCCGCAACAUCCCCCACCAAUACCUUUCUGAAGUUUUCUAGUCCCUCCUUUUUGUUUGUGCUCCUUAAAGCCCAGCCCCAUGCCUGACUUUGGUUCCCAGUGAGCAUUGUACAUUUG
rnacentral:lncRNA from 1 species